rnacentral:tRNA from 1 species
CAGGGUGUAGCUCAGCUUGGUAGAGCGCGUGGUUUGGGUCCACGAGGUCGCCGGUUCGAAUCCGGCCACCCUGA